rnacentral:lncRNA from 13 species
CGUGAAAUGUGCUGAAGGUGAGAAGCCACCCUCAUCUUGUUAAAUGCCAUGGCUGCUUAUUUCUUGCCUGUCAUUCCCUUCAGUUGCCCUAACCCCUUUAGAAAAGCCUCUUGGGAAUCUUUGAAAUUUUUCUUUAAAACACUACAGAAUCCAGGGAAGAACCUUGUCACGCCAUUUCAGGAGAGCAGUAAAGAGGGUGGAAUGCCUCCCAAGAUCAGCUGGAGCAGCAGGGAAUGUUCUGGAUCUCAUUUAAAAAUAUGACUUGAACUGAAAACUGUCAUCAUAUGCCUGUCAUUAUGUUCUAAAUCUUAAAACAUCCUUAUGAAGUGGCACUGCUCUUGCUCCCAUUUUACAGACGAGGAAGCAACAUUUGGGACUGUGUAUGCCAACAGCUGAUCCUCAUUUUACGUUGUUUGUUUUCUGAUACCCUUGAAAGAUUUGCAUUGCAUAUUAGAAAGAAAGUGGAAUGGUUUUGUUACAUUUUUACAACUCUCAAAGCACCUUUGUGUACUUGGUCUUUUAACUAGACGAUUCAAUUAUGUGGAUAAAGCAAGACAAGUUUUUCCAUUUUUGUUUUUGUUUAUUUUUAAAAUUUUAAGAGCCGGACCCUGCAAUCUGGGUUAUAUGAUUUGUUGGAAACCAUGUGUCAAUAGAUGAGGGGAUGGAAUUCAAAAUUAUUGCAAGUACAGGACUUAGUCCUCUAGCACUUGAUUUUGGCUUAAUUUAGAAUCUGUUCAUGCAUGGAAAUGCCAAAGACUGGAAACAUAAUUCCAAUAGUCUCAGCAGCACGCUGGGAGCAGGAGGAUCCCCAAGUCCCAGUGGGCUACAAACCUCCUGGGUCAGACUUUCUAUGUGUUUGCUUGGGUCACUGGAAGUGGCCAGGGAGACUUCUACGAAUGUGUCAGAUAUCUUGGUGCAUCAAUUUAGGCUCUGUGGCAAAGUCCAGAAGAUGAGGGAAAUUGAAAUAAUUGUGGAUACUUGGUUCUACACCUAUGGUUUUGACACGGGGGAAACAUUUGAUGUUGUUUUUUCUGCUUCAAGGAUUCCAAUGAUGUAUCUUUCUCUGUUUCAGCCACCAUGGGUUACUGACAGACCAAAAUAUCCUGACAACUCCCGAAUGCCGGAAGGAGAGAAUGGGUUUAUACAUCUGAGGACCUUGACUAUUCUACUCUUUCUCUGUCACCCAGACUGGAGUGCAGUGCCAGCCUACUCCUCCGCCCCCGACAUUCAAGUGAUCCUCCUGCCUCAGACCCCCGAGUAGCUGGG